rnacentral:rRNA from 1 species
UUGCUUCUCGGGUGACGAGUGGCGGACGGGUGAGUAAUGUCUGGGGAUCUGCCCGAUAGAGGGGGAUAACCACUGGAAACGGUGGCUAAUACCGCAUAACGUCGCAAGACCAAAGAGGGGGACCUUCGGGCCUCUCACUAUCGGAUGAACCCAGAUGGGAUUAGCUAGUAGGCGGGGUAACGGCCCACCUAGGCGACGAUCCCUAGCUGGUCUGAGAGGAUGACCAGCCACACUGGAACUGAGACACGGUCCAGACUCCUACGGGA